GUGCCAGCAGCCGCGGUAAUACGAAGGGGGCUAGCGUUGUUCGGAAUUACUGGGCGUAAAGCGCGCGCAGGCGGUUUCUCAAGUCAGUGGUGAAAGCCCGGAGCUCAACUCCGGAACUGCCAUUGAAACUGUGAAACUUGAGGACGAGAGAGGUGAGUGGAAUUCCCAGUGUAGAGGUGAAAUUCGUAGAUAUUGGGAAGAACACCGGUGGCGAAGGCGGCUCACUGGCUCGUUUCUGACGCUCAGGCGCGACAGCGUGGGGAUCAAACAGGAUUAGAAACCCGGGUAGUCC
rnacentral:rRNA from 1 species